rnacentral:rRNA from 1 species
ACAAGCGGUGGAGUAUGUGGUUUAAUUCGAUGCAACGCGAAGAACCUUACCUGGUCUUGACAUCCCGGAGACCCUUAGGAAACUAGGGGUGCUUCCAUCUGGAAGAAUCUGGAGACAGGUGCUGCAUGGCUGUCGUCAGCUCGUGUCGUGAGGUGUUGGGUUAAGUCCCGCAACGAGCGCAACCCUUGCCUUUAGUUGCCAGCAGUUCGGCUGGGCACUCUAAAGGGACUGCCGGUGUUAAACCGGAGGAAGGUGGGGAUGACGUCAAGUCCUCAUGGCCUUUAUGACCAGGGCUACACACGUACUACAAUGGCCGAUACAAAGGGCAGCGACACUGCGAGGUGAAGCCAAUCCCGUAAAAUCGGUCUCAGUCCGGAUUGGAGUCUGCAACUCGACUCCAUGAAGUUGGAAUCGCUAGUAAUCGUGGAUCAGCAUGCCACGGUGAAUACGUUCCCGGGCCUU